rnacentral:rRNA from 1 species
UACGUAGGGUGCGAGCGUUGUCCGGAAUUACUGGGCGUAAAGAGCUCGUAGGUGGUUUGUCGCGUUGUCCGUGAAAACUCACAACUCAAUUGUGGGCGUGCGGGCGAUACGGGCAGACUGGAGUACUGCAGGGGAGACUGGAAUUCCUGGUGUAGCGGUGGAAUGCGCAGAUAUCAGGAGGAACACCGGUGGCGAAGGCGGGUCUCUGGGCAGUAACUGACGCUGAGGAGCGAAAGCGUGGGGAGCGAACAGA